GCCGAGUUGAGUCUUUUGAAGGAUGGGCAAACCAGGCGCCAUCUUUAUUUGCCCAACGCAUAACAAUUCGAAGAAUAGACCUGCACCAAUAAGUAGGUUUAUUUGUUGCGGUUUAUUAAAUUCAGGAUCAGCUAAGCGAAGAUUCGAGAGUAUAUAUAUAUAUAUACUGGGCAGCGAGGUCUCAAAGGCACUUUGACCAAGAUAUAACCCAAAGCGAACAUCCGCCCUCCCACACUUUAGCAAGGACAACGCAAGGAUGCUGAUGGGAGUCUUACGGGGCACUGCUAUCGCAUGACACAACGCAUUGGUGAUCCCCAACAACUUCUGUCGAAGCUGUGGGAGCAUUGAUGAAGAAGACAAUAUCCAAUAUCUCCUUUGCGAGUGCUCAGCCUUUCACAGAGGGCAUCACCGAUUUCUCGGAAAAUAGGAGGGCUGAGUAGCCUUGAAGAGGCAAGUUUGAAAAACCUGGUUUGUAGAGUCCGCCGGAUGGUUCCACGGGCGCACUGACCCACAGGAAACAACCACGGGACCCAUAAACCUACCCAGGCUGUUCAACCUAAAACUGGUCGGUUUUUUUUAAUAAGGAUUGCUGGAAGCCCAAUCAUACAAAUAUUUGUCAUGUCAAGCCAUUAAUUUUUGGCACGCAAGGAAUAAAUAAAUAUAAAUCACAUGGGCUCCUGUAGGCGAUAACAAUCCGAG